rnacentral:pre_miRNA from 1 species
CAGCCUGCUGUCUUGUAUGGCUUUUUAUUCCUAUGUGAUUAUGCAUCCCACUUCAUAUAGGGAUUGAAGCCGUGCAGUACGCCAGGGCCC